AACGAACGCUGGCGGCAGGCCUAACCCAUGCAAGUCGAACGCCCCGCAAGGGGAGUGGCAGACGGGUGAGUAACGCGUGGGAACCUUCCCUGUGGUACGGAAUAACUGACCGAAAGGUUGGCUAAUACCGUAUACGUCCGAGAGGAGAAAGAUUUAUCGCCAUAGGAUGGGCCCGCGUCGGAUUAGCUAGUUGGUGAGGUAAUGGCUCACCAAGGCGACGAUCCGUAGCUGGUCUGAGAGGAUGAUCAGCCACACUGGGACUGAGACACGGCCCAGACUCCUACGGGAGGCAGCAGUGGGGAAUAUUGGACAAUGGGCGCAAGCCUGAUCCAGCCAUGCCGCGUGAGUGAUGAAGGUCUUCGGAUUGUAAAACUCUUUCGCCGGGGAAGAUAAUGACGGUACCCGGAGAAGAAGCUCCGGCUAACUUCGCGCCAGCAGCCGCAGUAA
rnacentral:rRNA from 1 species